rnacentral:lncRNA from 10 species
UUUUUUGUACUGUAUCACCCUUCUUAUGAUGAUGAUGUGAGAUGUUAAAGUGCCUGCUUGAUGAGGUGAAGUGAGGGACAGGAUCUUGCCCAGGCUGGAGUGCAGUGGCUAUUCACAAGUGCAAUCGUAGUGCACUACAGUCUUGGACUCCUGGCCUCAAGCAAUCCCACCUGUUUCCUGAGUAGCUGGACUAUAGGUUCCCUGACCUCCCUGGACCUCAGUUUCCAAAUCUGCUGAUGGAGGAUGAUGUUUUCAGUGCCUACACAGCUCCCAAAGUGAAGAUGAUAUGGAAACUGGGUGGUGUCGAGGACGGUCACACAGAGCCAAGGAGCAGAAAUGCUUGCCCUGCUUCUGCCAUGGUCUUCACAGUGAGAGACAGGCAGCUAUGCCCCUGAAUUCUCCAGGACCUGCCAAGUUGGGCCAUUUCAGAGAGGAGAAACUGAGACUCGGAGCUAUGUAAUCAGCAUACUGGAGCAUAGAAAGCAGAGACAGGCAGAAGGCAAGAACUCAGAGAUGGGAAAGGAAUCCUGACCCACCCAGAUUGGCAAAGCCAUUGCAGACCCAUGGUUCUGGGGUUUUCCUGUUGGCUCGCAAAGUGAUAUCAAGUCAGAGGUAUUGUUUUCCCUUGUCUCUGCCAUUGAUAAGACAGAGAAAAACAGCUCCCAUGAUAACAUUGAUGCUGCCAGCCCUUCCUGCUACUGGCUUUCCUGGUUGGAGUCCUCUCCUAUGCUCCUUCCUCUCUCUCCUUCCGGACUGAGAUUCAAGCCGAGAUGCCUUGUGGGGCAAAGGAGCCGGCGGUGAGGUUCCCUCCUUCAGUUGCUUCAGCAGGCACAUAGCUCCUUCUGAUCUUGGACAAAGCCCAAAAGGCUCUGAGGCAGUGGUGUGCUGGGGCAGGCUCAUACUGACUCAUUAGAGCCAAUUGCUAAAUUUCGGGGAAUCUUGUAAGCCAAUUGUUAAACA